AGAGCCGGCGUAAGGAGACGGAAGGGGAGAGAACUGAGUACUCUUAUCAACAACAUCAACGACAACAAUCGCCUUGGAGUUAUCCGGCAGCUUCUCAGGGGAGGUAUCGGGAGAGGCAUAAGGAGGAGUCUCCGGUGGGUCACCGGCGUCGGAUCGGAGCGGAGAAUGGAAACGUAGCGGUGAGUGAGGAGAUUCCAUAUGACUGUGAA
rnacentral:misc_RNA from 1 species